UUUAGUACUACCUUUUAAAUCUCAAUCUUUAUAUAUAAAGUAGUGUUUCUUUCUCUCCUAGAGUGUCCACAUAGGAUGCCACAUAGAUAAUUCGUUUUAUGUUGUAGCGACACGUGUCCGAAGAGAAAAACUCAUCGUUUCAAUUAUGUGUUUUCACGUGAUUCAGGCCGAAGAUAGAGAGACAGCCGCAAGAUUUUCUAGGGUUUGCUGUUCUUCCGCAAUUAAAACAAUCUUCUCUUUCGAUCUCUGAUACAGCUAUGAGUUUCGAUAUCUUCAAUCCACAUGAGAAUUGCUUUGUGAAUCUUCGACCUGAGGUUAUGUCUUCUUCCUUUCUUUCCUUCCCCUUCUGACCUUCGCCUUCUUCAUGACUGUCCACGUUUGUUUCUAGGGUUCAUCGUCCUCGACAGCAAGCUCUGAUACGGUCAACCAACAAUGGAGGGGAAAAGGUUGUGUGAGAUGAGUGUUAGUGAGGAAUCUCUGCAUCGAUCUCGGUUAAUAAAGUUCAGAUCUUGGAUUGUUCGGGACCAACAACCAGCGUAACUGUUCUGUAUCUAUGGCAGAGAGAUUUUAAUGUUCAACCUCUAAACAUGUUCUUGACUCCUUUAGCCAUCUCUACCUCAAUGUGUGCGUUGUCUUCUGAGAGGCGGUGUAUCUGCGGAUAUAAAAAGGCUGGCAGUUGUUUGUGCGGCUGCUCAGAUUUGUGAAACGAGUGAAACUGAAGCAGAUUGAUCUCUUAGUUCCAGUGACAUAAGAAACUUUCUCCGUGUAAGAAAACUCCAAAACUAUUUGUUACAGAAGCCUUAUGUUAAUAUCUUGAAAACAUGUGUAACAAGUCAUCAUCUUUACUGCAAGAGGGUGGCGCAUAUCAUAGAUUCAAUCACUAUGCUUACCUUGACAUGUCGUGGUCUCCGUAAGUCACUAAUCUGUAUCUUUUGAAAUGUUUUUAAGUUUUGAAAGUCGAGCUGUUGUAUAACUCCCACAAGCUCAUCAUCUUCCACCAAAUGUUUCUCAACUGUCAACUACUGUAUUAACUCUAAUGAUCUUUUCUAAUCAUAUUCUCUUCCAGUUUCUUCAAUUUAUGGGAUGCAGAUCAUUGUUUACACGUUAGUAUAAACUUUGAAACGUUCUUUAUGCGCUUUCAUAAGUAAGAACUAUCUGAAUCUUUUCCUCUUCAGCAGCCAUGUGAUUUGUGGAUGAAUUUUGGUGACUGUUACAUUCAUCUUGAGCGGAACACUCCUUCUGUUACAAAAUUAUGUCUCAUGACAGUUCAUUAGCUUCUUCUUUCAUUGAAAAAAUUUAAUGUGCUUCUUUGAGCAUUAGUGCAACUACAGACACAUAUGUAGCCCGGAGUGUAUCAGUAGAGAAAACCGCAAGCAACACGGCUCUAGACGAGAUCUUGCCUUGCAUAUACAAUUCUACAGCUCAAGCAAUUUUGAUACGUAGCAAAGAGUUGACGGAUCAGCUCGUGGAGCUCAUUAGUUGUACCAUUGUUCAUGAGAUGGUUAAUUAGGUUGGCUAACAAGAACUGUUACGCCGUUGAUUUGAUGUUGAUCUGUAUAUAACGAUCAUGUAUCACAGUUUCCCUAAAACGUUGGUUGACUAAGGAUGGUGAUUAUUUAUAAUGUACCAAGGUCCAACAUACCAGGAGUUUGUUAAUAUUUGCUUAGGAGAUGGUCUAUGAGAAGUGGCCAGGUCAUGGGGUUGAUGGGGAGAAAUCAGCUGUCCAGGUAUAUAGUCAUGUCCAAGAAUUGGUAAAUCUGCUCCUGUCUAUCAUCAUUGGUGAUGGAGAAAAAUUGAAGCAUCAACACCACUACAAAGGAAGCAGAGUCAGCAGAAGCCGAAGCAAAAGCAGCUCAAGCUUAUGCUGAGAAGCUUCAAAGACACUGAGAGGACGAAACCUCUGCAAAAUGAUGGUUUGUAUGAGAGGUGACGUAGGAGGAAGAAGAAUGUGUUGCAGGUGAAGAAGAUGAAUGUGUUGGAGGUGAACAGAGAGAGAAGCGUAGAAGUAGUGUCUGUUGUUGAUUCUCUACUUGGAAACUCUUUUUAAUUGUAAACAGUAAUCUCAAAUGCUAACACUCUUUCUAUCUGUAACAAAUAAUUCUUUAGCUGGAGAAUUUUUACAGAUUAAAAAUGUGUUAUAUAUUGUGAAAUUGGAAAGAUACGUGGGCAAGUUUUAAUGUUAUAGCAUGUAUAAAAAAUUUGUUUUA